AACGUAGGACACAAGCGUUAUCCGGAGUUACUGGGCGUAAAGGGCGUGCAGGCGGUUUCUUAAGUCAGGCGUGAAACCAUUCGGCUAAACCGGGUGUAGUCGUCUGAGACUGGGAGACUAGAGUGUGGUAGAGGCGUGUAGAAUUCCGGGUGUAGUGGUGAAAUGCGUAGAUAUCCGGAGGAAUACCAGUGGCGAAAGCGGCACGCUGGGCCAUAACUGACGCUAAGACGCGAAAGCAUGGGUAGCGAACGGG
rnacentral:rRNA from 1 species